rnacentral:rRNA from 1 species
GACGAACGCUGGCGGCGUGCUUAACACAUGCAAGUCGAACGGAAAGGCCCUGCUUUUGUGGGGUGCUCGAGUGGCGAACGGGUGAGUAACACGUGAGUAACCUGCCCUUGACUUUGGGAUAACUUCGGGAAACUGGGGCUAAUAACGGAUAGGAGCUCCUGCUGCAUGGUGGGGGUUGGAAAGUUUCGGCGGUUGGGGAUGGACUCGCGGCUUAUCAGCUUGUUGGUGGGGUAGUGGCUUACCAAGGCUUUGACGGGUAGCCGGCCUGAGAGGGUGACCGGCCACAUUGGGACUGAGAUACGGCCCAGACUCCUACGGGAGGCAGCAGUGGGGAAUAUUGCACAAUGGGCGGAAGCCUGAUGCAGCAACGCCGCGUGCGGGAUGACGGCCUUCGGGUUGUAAACCGCUUUCGCCUGUGACGAAGCGUGAGUGACGGUAAUGGGUAAAGAAGCACCGGCUAACUACGUG